rnacentral:tRNA from 1 species
CGUCAGAUAGCUCAGUGGUCUAGAGCAGUCGCCCGGCAAGCGAAAGACUCGGGUUCGAUUCCCGGUCUAGCGA